AAAAGCGGAGGAAAAGAAACCAACAGGGAUUGCCUUAGUAGCGGCGAGUGAAGCGGCAAAAGCUCAAAUUUGAAAUCUGGUACUUUCAGUAUCCGAGUUGUAAUUUGUAGAAGCAACUUUGGUGAUGGUCUUUGCAUAAGUUCCUUGGAAUAGGACGUCAUAGAGGGUGAGAAUCCCGUUUAUGGUGAAGAACCCACACUAUGUAAAGUGCUUUCGAAGAGUCGAGUUGUUUGGGAAUGCAGCUCAAAGUGGGUGGUAAAUUCCAUCUAAAGCUAAAUAUUGGCGAGAGACCGAUAGCGAACAAGUACUGUGAAGGAAAGAUGAAAAGAACUUUGAAAAGAGAGUGAAAAAGUACGUGAAAUUGUUGAAAGGGAAGGGAUCUAAAUCAGACAUGGUAUUUUGUGAUCAACAGUCUUUCGGGACUGUGCACUCGCAUUUUACUAGGCCAGCAUCGGUUAGAAGGGGGUAAAAAAGAUUUUGGAAUGUGGCUCCUCGGAGUGUUAUAGCCAAGGUUAAUUGCCCCAUUUCUGACCGAGGACCGCGUCUUUUGACUAGGAUGCUGGCGUAAUGGUUUUGAUCCACCCGUCUUAACCCCC
rnacentral:rRNA from 1 species